UACAGGGGGGGCAAGCGUUGUUCGGAAUUACUGGGCGUAAAGGGCCAGUAGGCGGCCAACUAAGUCACACGUGAAAUCCCCAGGCUUAACCUGGGAACUGCGUGUGAUACUGGAUGGCUUGAAUUCGGGAGAGGGAUGCAGAAUUCCCGGUGUAGCGGUGGAAUGCGUAGAGAUCGGGAAGAACAUCGGUGGCGAAGGCGGCCUGCUGGGCUCUUGCUGACACUGAUGCGCGACAGCGUGGGGAGCAAACAGG
rnacentral:rRNA from 1 species